CGAAAACCCUUGACGGAACAAAGACCGGCGUGAAGGGAGGAAGCUUCUUAGGUUUGUAAACCUCUUUUAUCAGGGAAGAAGCUCUGGACCGGUACCUGAGGAAUCAGCAUCGGCUUACUCCGUGCCGGCAGCCGCGGUAAUACGGGAAGGAAUCCAAGCGUUACCCGGAAUCAUUGGGCGUAAAAGCGUCCGCAGGUGGGAGUUCAAGUCGAUUGUCAAAGGCAGUAGCUUAACUACUGAAAGGCAGUGGAAACUGAACAACUAGAGUCCGUUAGGGUUAGAGGGAAUUCCCGGUGUAGCGGUGAAAUGCGUAGAGAUCGGGAAGAACACCAGUGGCGAAAGCGCUCUGCUGGACCGGCACUGACACUGAGGGACGAAAGCUAAGGGGAGCG
rnacentral:rRNA from 1 species